UACGGAGGGUGCAAGCGUUAAUCGGAAUUACUGGGCGUAAAGCGCACGUAGGUGGUUUGUUAAGCCAGCUGUGAAAUCCCCGGGCUCAACCUGGGCACUGCAGUUGGAACUGGCAAGCUAGAGUAGGGUAGAGGGGUGUGGAAUUCCAGGUGUAGCGGUGAAAUGCGUAGAUAUCUGGAGGAACACCGGUGGCGAAGGCGGCAUCCUGGACCGAGAUUGACGCUGAGGCGCGAAAGCCAGGGGAGCAAACGGG
rnacentral:rRNA from 1 species